ACACACACACACACGCUAGAGCGAGCGCGACAAUAGCCGGACGAAGUACGAUUUUGUUUAUUACGUUCAGGAUUAUUGUUAUAAUAUUUUAGGCGAGCGCGGCGUGUGAUGUGCGCACGUAAUCGGGUGCGAAAAGAGCUGUCGCGAAUUCGCGUAGUAACGCGGCGGCCGAUAUUGUUUACAGGUAGGUUCGCGUCGCGCGCUACUCGAAAAACACACAAUAAACGAGAUAAAUUACGUUAUGUAUGGUUUAUUUAUAGACGAAUUUUUUUUUUUGCUCUCCUCGCUGGUGCGUGCGAUAGCCGACGACGGACGAGUAAACCGGGCAAUGUUAUUUACGCCGCUGCCAAUAACAGGUAGGUAGGUACGUGCGCGCGCGACUCGGAGCGGACUGAAACCGAAACCGGACGGGAACCCGCGUCUGUUCUUCCGGCGUCCACCGGGAACGAAAACGAUAAGCACUGAAACGCGCGGCGUCGGACACACGGGCACGCGAACGCCGACGGAGACGGACGGCUGCGGCGGUCUGGUGCGUACACACUCAAAACGCACACGCACGCCAACACCACUCACUCACAGGUUUUCGCGCGCGUACACACACACACACACA